rnacentral:rRNA from 1 species
CCUACGGGUGGCAGCAGUCGAGAAUCAUUCACAAUGGGGGAAACCCUGAUGGUGCGACGCCGCGUGGGGGAAUGAAGGUCUUCGGAUUGUAAACCCCUGUCAUGUGGGAGCAAAUUAAAAAGAUAGUACCACAAGAGGAAGAGACGGCUAACUCUGUGCCAGCAGCCGCGGUAAUACAGAGGUCUCAAGCGUUGUUCGGAAUGACUGGGCGUAAGGCGUGCGUAGGCUGUUUCGUAAGUCGUGUGUGAAAGGCGCGGGCUCAACCCGCGGACGGCACAUGAUACUGCGAGACUAGAGUAAUGGAGGGGGAACCGGAAUGCUCGGUGUAGCAGUGAAAUGCGUAGAGAUCGAGAGGAACACUCGUGGCGAAGGCGGGUUCCUGGACAUUAACUGACGCUGAGGCACGAAGGCCAGGGGAGCGAAAGGGAUUAGAUACCCCGGUAGUC